rnacentral:tRNA from 7 species
UACGGACUUAAAAUCCGUCGACUUUAAAAAUCAUGAGGGUUCAAGUCCCUCUAUCCCCA